rnacentral:lncRNA from 1 species
GGUGUGUCAAUGUGGGUAGACAGGUCAAGAAUCACACUUGAUUGUUGAGUACGAUUAAAUCUAAGUGUGUGUCAUUUUUUGGUCUUUUUCACUCUUUUUAAAUUCGGUAUCUGGUGGGUAGACAGGUCAAGAAUCACACUUGAUUGUUGAGUACGAUUAAAUCUAAGUGUGUAUCUGUUUGUCUCUUUUUGUAAAAUAACAUUAUUACUCGGAGACUUUUUCAUUAAAAUCUAACCAAGAAAUAGUUACACGUUAAUUUAGUCUAUUACAACAGUUGUUAUUUUAUAGUUCGUUUCUGUGUGUGCUACAUUGUCG